CAACUUUCAGCAGUGGAUGUCUAGGCUCGCGCAUCGAUGAACAACGCAGCGAACUGCGAUACGUAAUGCGAAUUGCAGGAUUCAGUGAGUCAUCGAAAUUUUGAACGCAUAUUGCACUUCCGGGUUAUCCCUGGGAGUAUGCCUGUAUCAGUGUCCGUA
rnacentral:rRNA from 1 species